GCCUUAGUAGCUCAGCAUC
rnacentral:tRNA from 1 species